UGUUCACGUUCCGCCAGCCGUGGAAUACCGCCGGAAGGUCUGCAGGGGCCACGGUGGUCGUCUGGCCAUCUUGGACACAGUGGAGCAUCUGACCAGGAUCAGGAACCUGUCUGAAGGGGUUUGGGGAUACGAAUCCCAAUACAGGUGGGCUGGGCUCCAGGUGAAUCAGUCUAUGUUACUGUGGGAGGGUACCUGUGCGGAGCAGGAUCUGUCAAUUCGACACUGGCGUUAUUCAACUCGAGGUAUGCCGAGUUACCCGGAUUCCCCUAGUGGCCAGUGUUUUCGUACUGCUCCCGGGGCAACAUGUGCUGACCGAUCACCCCUGCGACCACUAUCAUCCCUUCAUAUGCGAGCUGCAUGCAAUAGACGGAGUGUCAAUAAACAGCCAGAAUACCACAGGAUACAUGGAG